rnacentral:rRNA from 1 species
UACGUAGCUGGCAAGCGUUGUCCGGAUUUACUGGGUGUAAAGGGCGUGUAGGCGGGUUUGCAAGUCGGGUGUGAAAGAUCCAGGCUUAACUUGGAGAGGUCAUCCGAAACUGCAGAUCUUGAGUGCUGGAGAGGAUAGUGGAAUUCCUGGUGUAGCGGUAAAAUGCGUAGAUAUCAGGAGGAACACCGGUGGCGAAGGCGGGUCUCUGGGCAGUAACUGACGCUGAGGAGCGAAAGCAUGGGGAGCGAACAGGAUUAGAUA